CAUGGUCGUUAAAAUAUUGUACAAAGAUAAGGAGCUAUAGUAUGGUUUCUAAUGAGACAACUUAUCACCAAAAUUCAAAUGAUGUGUUCCAUUUGACGUAAACUUUUACAACAUCUUCUCUGAAACAAUUUCACAAAUUUCUACGAAACUUGAGCAUUAUAAUAAAUCCUUAAGGUAACUAUUUCUGUUCUUGCCAAUCCACCCAAAAU
rnacentral:lncRNA from 1 species